rnacentral:rRNA from 1 species
UACGUAGGGUGCGAGCGUUAAUCGGAAUUACUGGGCGUAAAGCGUGCGCAGGCGGUUUUGUAAGUCUGUCGUGAAAUCCCCGGGCUUAACCUGGGAAUUGCGAUGGAGACUGCAAGGCUAGAAUCUGGCAGAGGGGGGUAGAAUUCCACGUGUAGCAGUGAAAUGCGUAGAGAUGUGGAGGAAUACCGAUGGCGAAGGCAGCCCCCUGGGAUAACACUGACGCUCAUGCACGAAAGCGUGGGGAGCAAACAGG